rnacentral:rRNA from 1 species
AGUGAACGCUGGCGGUAGGCCUAACACAUGCAAGUCGAACGGCAGCACAGUAAGAGCUUGCUCUUACGGGUGGCGAGUGGCGGACGGGUGAGGAAUACAUCGGAAUCUACUUUUUCGUGGGGGAUAACGUAGGGAAACUUACGCUAAUACCGCAUACGACCUACGGGUGAAAGCAGGGGAUCUUCGGACCUUGCGCGAUUGAAUGAGCCGAUGUCGGAUUAGCUAGUUGGCGGGGUAAAGGCCCACCAAAGCGACGAUCCGUAGCUGGUCUGAGAGGAUGAUCAGCCACACUGGAACUGAGACACGGUCCAGACUCCUACGGGAGGCAGCAGUGGGGAAUAUUGGACAAUGGGUGCAAGCCUGAUCCAGCCAUACCGCGUGGGUGAAGAAGGCCUUCGGGUUGUAAAGCCCUUUUGUUGGGAAAGAAAAGCAGCAGGUUAAUACCCCGCUGUUCUGACGGUACCCAAAGAAUAAGCACCGGCUAACUUCGUG